AACUGGAGGCAGCAAAUGACCCACACCUGACAGCCGUUAGCUGGCUGUAGGGGGCAAGGCCUGGCCUUUGUGAAGCCCAGGGCUGAGGCCAGGCUGGCAGUUCCCUGCCAGCAGCCAGAGAGACAGGAGCUCCCUCAGCCAUGAUACGAGAAGCAGUGAGAACUUACAAGCAAGAUUAUAUCUUCUCCAUUUCUGUUCAAGCCCUGUAAAUCUACUCGAGCCUCUCCACCAGCUGAAAAUCUACUUUUAAGAGGAUUCAUUCUAAGGCAAUUCAGCACAAUUGAUAUAAAUCAGAAAAUCAAAAGAAAAAUUCUGCUCUUUCUUACAUUCUGACAGAAGUAAAAAGCUCACAUGAAGCCUAUUCUAAAGACUACUGAGAUAAAUUAAAAGAUUCCUAAUUGACUUCCAUGUGCACUGGAUCAGAUCCACAAUACUUACAUAUUUAUUAAAUACCAAGAGAAGAAUUUCCUGGAAUACUGAUUUCACAUGGACUUAACUGCACAUUAAAUGCAUUUUUAAAAAUUAUGGAAAAUGUAUUCAACUGUAUCAAUUUAAAAAAAACUCCAAAACAAGUGAUAUUUGGGCAGAAAUAAGAAUAUAGCCAGUUAAAUUAAAGUCUUUUUUCUACAACAAGUUCCAUGUGUUGCCUUUGCAUAUGUGAAGCUGUUUUGAAA